UUUAGUGCUUCAUAGAAAAGUGCCACUCAGCCACAACUCUUGUAAGUCUUUGUAGUACACCACUGCACAAAACUUAUGUCAUUUCCUUGUAGAUUCUGUUUGUCAGUAUGCUCAAGCCCACGGGUGAUUUCUUUCAUUGAUAUGCAGGCCUCACGUACACUUCAUUCUUUGUCAGUGUCGUACUGUAUUCGUGGUGAUCAGUGAACUACUGGCUGAUGCAGAUCUAGUCUUCUCUUGGGGACUUAUUGUCUGCAUGUUGACAGGUUGGAUCAGCAGAGGAGCCGACACCGCACAGCUCGGCGCUCUUCCCCUGUGCCUGAGCAACACUGCGCUGACACGUCUGUCCGAUGCAGGGAGGAGACAGCAAGCGAGAGGCGAGGCUUGGCGGAGUUUGGACAUGUUAGGCAAUCCAUGUCGGGGCAUCAUGAGGGAAAACAGCUUGUAUGCUGUCAUACGGACGCGGCGCUCACAACUUGGAAUCUCAAACAAGCCUCUCCCACACCCACCUCUAAUAUCUUCCACCACGGUGACAGAGAGAGAGAGAGAGAGAGAGAGAGAGAGAGAGAGAGAGAGAGAGAGAGAGAGAUUAGAUUAGAUUAGAUUAGAUUAAAUUGUUUAUUAUCCACCAAAGUGGUUGUUACACAUUUUACAAGUAGUCAAGUAUACAAAUAUGAUUUAAUACUGGUGAUAUUUAACAAUAUAAGUACAAUAAAGUUGAGGAUCACUCGUCUAUAAUAGAUGCACCACAAAAAUGCUAAGUUAACUUACAUACACUGGUACACUUACAAUGAAAACAUCAAGAUGAAACAAACCUAACUAAAUAUAUUUUUGGUUAUUUUAUUUAUUUAUUUAUUAUUUUAUUUAUUUAUUUUUUUUUUCAAGUCCAGCCUUAAAAGAGUUUAUAGAUGUGUCCUGUGUGAGGGAGAGCGGGAGAGAGUUCCACGCUGUGGCUCCCAAUAUGACAGUGCGUGUAUCAGCAGUGUGUGUGUAGGUGCGCGGUACAAGCAACCUGUGCCUGUGUCUUGUGACGCUACUGGUGAUAGCUUGCCUGUUACAUAGUGAUAAAAACUAUUUUAGAUGAAACCCUCGUAAAAUCUUAAAUAUUGUUGUAGCCACUUGUAAAACAUGUUUGUGCUUUAUUCGUAGCCAUUGGAGUUCUUUAUAAAAUGGAGACACGUGAUCAUAUUUCUUAACUCCACCUAUGGCAACCCUUACUGCAGCAUUCUGUAACUUUUGCACACCAGACAUUAAUGCAUCAUUUGUAGUCCCCAUAUUCUAAUACAACAGUUAAUUAAGCUUAAUACAAGGGCCUGUGUCACCAUGAUCCUGCUGUCCUUAUCUGUGUUUUCACUAAUUCUACUUACAUACAUUAAAAUACCCACCACUUUCCUUUGCAGCUCAUUAAUAUGGACGUCAAAAAGCAAGUAACUCUCCAAGGAAACUCCCAAGUUUUUCACGUGCUUACUUGGAUGUAUUACAUUUCCAUUAACAUUCACAGUCGUGUUUGGGGGAGUGUGAGAUAAAAGCUGGCGAUUACCUAUAAAAAUACACUGAGUCUUGCAAGAAUUAAACAUGAGACCAUUGUUUAGUUACAACAUCGGGAUCACCAUUUUUAUACAGGGGGACAACCAGUGCAUGUUUCCAUGACUCGGGGAACACGCCAGUCACCAGGGACGUGUUGAUGAUACAGCUGAGGAGAGGACAGUGACACAGGGCGCAUCCCGGACAAACUUUAAUGCUAUUCCGUCCGACCCGAUGGAGUUGGUUACAUCGAGGUCUUUAACGGUUAAGAUAAGGGUGUCAGCGUCCACAGGCUCAGAUCUACAAGCAGAGUUCACUUUAAUGGUAUUUACUUGAAGAUGAUGAACAGUUACUACUACCCCUUCACUUCUUAGUUCUUCCUGAGAACGUCUGAAAGUAGUCUCCCCAACAUUUGAAAAGAAUUUAUUGAAGUCAGUUUUUCAUUUACGUUACCAAAAUUGUGAGUAUCAUGUUUUUUUUUUUUUUUUCUGAUUAGGAAUAAUUUCCUCAGUAACUUUCCAUGUUGCAGAGAUAUUUCCUUUACAAUCUUUUAGACGACCUUGAUAAUGCUCUGCCUUAGAGGUAUUAAUGAGUGCUUUGACAUGUUUCAGCAGCUUUAUAACGUUCCCUCAAUCCAACGUUAUUUGUACCGACUUUUAACUCUCUUUGCAACCUAUUACGGUCCUCCUUUGCCUCACGAACAUCGCCACUCAUCCAUGGUGCUGGUGUGCCUUUCACAGCUUUAGUCACAACAGGGGCACACACACAUCAAGAGGAAAACUAAAAACCUCAUUAAAAAUAUACACUUGUUUGUUAAGGUCGUCAGUUAAAAACACAUUAUUGAUACAAUACACAUUGUAUAAAAGCAGCAAACAAAGUGUCUUUAUCACAGUGCUUCAGAUCAGGGAGGCUUUUUAUCACCGGUAUUUUGCGAGGUUUUCUUACAUUUAUAGCGACGGACACGAGAUCAUGAUCUGCAAUUAACUGAGGGACCACGUCACGGGAUAAAACUACCUCAGGUUUAUUAGUGAUAAUAAGAUCCAGUAGAGUAGCUCAAUGUCAGGUUUUUCUUGUGGGUUUAUCAAUAAAACUGAAUCAACUUA